CAUCACGGAGUUUCUCUCGGUUUGUGGGCUCAUCUAAAGCUGAUCAGCAGGAGGAGAAGAGUCUGACGGAGCAGCAGAGGAACAUUUUCAGCCAUCUGGACUCAGCUGAGUCACUACAGAGGAAACAAUGAGCUCAACACAGAAGGACCAACAUGGA